AUUGAACGCUGGCGGCAGGCCUAACACAUGCAAGUCGAACGGUAGCACAGAGAGCUUGCUCUCGGGUGACGAGUGGCGGACGGGUGAGUAAUGUCUGGGAAACUGCCCGAUGGAGGGGGAUAACUACUGGAAACGGUAGCUAAUACCGCAUAACGUCGCAAGACCAAAGUGGGGGACCUUCGGGCCUCACACCAUCGGAUGUGCCCAGAUGGGAUUAGCUAGUAGGUGGGGUAAUGGCUCACCUAGGCGACGAUCCCUAGCUGGUCUGAGAGGAUGACCAGCCACACUGGAACUGAGACACGGUCCAGACUCCUACGGGAGGCAGCAGUGGGGAAUAUUGCACAAUGGGCGCAAGCCUGAUGCGGCCAUGCCGCGUGUAUGAAGAAGGCCUUCGGGUUGUAAAGUACUUUCAGCGGGGUGGAAGGCGGUGGAGUUAAUAACUUCACCGAUUGACGUUACCCGCAGAAGAAGCACCGGCUAACUCCGUGCCAGCAGCCGCCGUAA
rnacentral:rRNA from 1 species